rnacentral:rRNA from 1 species
UACGAAGGGUGCAAGCGUUACUCGGAAUUACUGGGCGUAAAGCGUGCGUAGGUGGUUCGUUAAGUCUGAUGUGAAAGCCCUGGGCUCAACCUGGGAAUGGCAUUGGAAACUGGCGACCUAGAGUGCGGUAGAGGGUAGUGGAAUUCCCGGUGUAGCAGUGAAAUGCGUAGGGAUCGGGAGGAACAUCCGUGGCGAAGGCGACUACCUGGACCAGCACUGACACUGAGGCACGAAAGCGUGGGGAGCAAACAGG